AGUCAAGUAAUUAAGUGCAUGUGGUGGAUGCCUUGGCAGUCAGAGGCGAUGAAAGACGUGAUAGCCUGCGAAAAGCUCCGGGGAGGCGGCAAAUAUCCUUUGAUCCGGAGAUGUCUGAAUGGGGGAACCCACCUACUUUAAGGUAGGUAUUGCAACAUGAAUACAUAGUGUUGCAAGGCGAACGAGGGGAAGUGAAACAUCUCAGUACCCUUAGGAAAAGAAAUCAAUUGAGAUUCCCUCAGUAGCGGCGAGCGAACGGGGAUCAGCCCAUUAAGUUAUGUGUGUUUUAGUGGAACGCUCUGGGAAGUGCGAACGUAGAGGGUGAUAUUCCCGUACACGAAAGGGCACACAUAAUGAUGACGAGUAGGGCGAGGCACGUGAAACCUUGUCUGAAUAUGGGGGGACCAUCCUCCAAGGCUAAAUACUCCUGACUGACCGAUAGUGAACCAGUACCGUGAGGGAAAGGCGAAAAGAACCCCUGUGAGGGGAGUGAAAUAGAUCCUGAAACCGCAUGCAUACAAGCAGUGGGAGCACCUUCGUGGUGUGACUGCGUACCUUUUGUAUAAUGGGUCAGCGACUUAUAUUCAGUAGCGAGGUUAACCGUAUAGGGGAGCCGUAGAGAAAUCGAGUCUUAAUAGGGCGUUUAGUUGCUGGGUAUAGACCCGAAACCAGGCGAUCUAUCCAUGAGCAGGUUGAAGGUUGGGUAACACUAACUGGAGGACCGAACCCACUGUCGUUGAAAAGCCAGGGGAUGACUUGUGGAUAGGGGUGAAAGGCUAAUCAAGCCUGGUGAUAGCUGGUUCUCCCCGAAAGCUAUUUAGGUAGCGCCUCGGACGAAUACCAUAGGGGGUAGAGCACUGUUUCGGCUAGGGGGUCAUCCCGACUUACCAAACCGAUGCAAACUCCGAAUACCUAUGAGUACUAUCCGGGAGACAGACUGCGGGUGCUAACGUCCGUAGUCAAGAGGAAAACAAUCCAGACCGCCAGCUAAGGCCCCAAAAUCAUAGUUAAGUGGGAAACGAUGUGGGAAGGCAUAGACAGCUAGGAGGUUGGCUUAGAAGCAGCCACCCUUUAAAGAAAGCGUAAUAGCUCACUAGUCGAGUCGGCCUGCGCGGAAGAUGUAACGGGGCUAAAACUAUGUGCCGAAGCUGCGGAUGUAUACUUUGUAUACGUGGUAGGGGAGCGUUCUGUAAGCCGAUGAAGGUGUGUUGAGAAGCAUGCUGGAGGUAUCAGAAGUGCGAAUGCUGACGUGAGUAACGACAAAACGGGUGAAAAACCCGUUCGCCGAAAGACCAAGGGUUCCAGUCCAACGUUAAUCGGGGCUGGGUGAGUCGACCCCUAAGGCGAGGCCGAAAGGCGUAGUCGAUGGGAAAAUGGUUAAUAUUCCAUUACUUCUGUGUAAUGCGAUGAGAGGACGGAGAAGGCUAAAUCAGCCUGGCGUUGGUUGUCCAGGUGAAAGGAUGUAGGCAUGUAUCUUAGGCAAAUCCGGGGUACUCUAUGCUGAGAUCUGAUAGCAAGCUGUACUUGUACAGCGAAGUGGUUGAUGCCAUGCUUCCAGGAAAAGUCUCUAAGCUUCAGUUACACAGGAAUCGUACCCGAAACCGACACAGGUGGUCAGGUCGAGUAGACCAAGGCGCUUGAGAGAACUCUGCUGAAGGAACUAGGCAAAAUGGUACCGUAACUUCGGGAGAAGGUACGCUGUUGUUGGUGAUGGAACUCGCUUCCUGAGCUGACGACAGCCGCAGAAACCAGGCCGCUGCAACUGUUUAUUAAAAACAUAGCACUCUGCAAACACGAAAGUGGACGUAUAGGGUGUGAUGCCUGCCCGGUGCUGGAAGGUUAAUUGAUGGGGUUAGCGUAAGCGAAGCUCUUGAUCGAAGCCCCAGUAAACGGCGGCCGUAACUAUAACGGUCCUAAGGUAGCGAAAUUCCUUGUCGGGUAAGUUCCGACCUGCACGAAUGGCAUAAUGAUGGCGGCGCUGUCUCCAGCAGAGGCUCAGUGAAAUCGAAAUCGCUGUGAAGAUGCAGUGUACCCGCGGCUAGACGGUAAGACCCCGUGAACCUUUACUGCAGCUUGACACUGAACUUUGACCUUACUUGUGUAGGAUAGGUGGGAGGCUUUGAAGCUGGAACGCUAGUUCCAGUGGAGCCGUCCUUGAAAUACCACCCUGGUAAUGUUGAGGUUCUAACUCUGUCCCGUGAUCCGGGACGAGGACCGUGUCUGGUGGGUAGUUUGACUGGGGCGGUCUCCUCCUAAAGAGUAACGGAGGAGUACGAAGGUGCGCUCAGCGUGGUCGGAAAUCACGCGUAGAGUAUAAAGGCAAAAGCGCGCUUAACUGCGAGACCCACAAGUCGAGCAGGUACGAAAGUAGGUCUUAGUGAUCCGGUGGUUCUGUAUGGAAGGGCCAUCGCUCAACGGAUAAAAGGUACUCUGGGGAUAACAGGCUGAUACCGCCCAAGAGUUCAUAUCGACGGCGGUGUUUGGCACCUCGAUGUCGGCUCAUCUCAUCCUGGGGCUGAAGCAGGUCCCAAGGGUAUGGCUGUUCGCCAUUUAAAGAGGUACGCGAGCUGGGUUUAGAACGUCGUGAGACAGUUCGGUCCCUAUCUACCGUGGGCGCUGGAAAUUUGAGAGGAUCUGCUCCUAGUACGAGAGGACCAGAGUGGACGAACCUCUGGUGUACCGGUUGUGACGCCAGUCGCAUCGCCGGGUAGCUAUGUUCGGAAGGGAUAACCGCUGAAAGCAUCUAAGCGGGAAGCCUACCUCAAGAUAAGAUUUCCCUAGGACUUUAUGUCCUCUAAAGAGCCGUUCGAGACUAGGACGUUGAUAGGUUGGAUGUGGAAGCAUAGUGAUAUGUGAAGCUGACCAAUACUAAUUGCUCGUGAGGCUUGACUAU
rnacentral:rRNA from 1 species